AUUGAACGCUGGCGGCAUGCCUUACACAUGCAAGUCGAACGGCAGCACGGGUGCUUGCACCUGGUGGCGAGUGGCGUACGGGUGAGUAAUACAUCGGAACGUACCUUAUCGUGGGGGAUAACGCAGCGAAAGCUGCGCUAAUACCGCAUACGCCCUGAGGGGGAAAGCGGGGGAUCGCAAGACCUCGCGCGAUUAGAGCGGCCGAUGCCUGAUUAGCUUGUUGGUGGGGUAAAAGCCCACCAAGGCGACGAUCAGUAGCUGGUCUGAGAGGACGAUCAGCCACACUGGGACUGAGACACGGCCCAGACUCCUACGGGAGGCAGCAGUGGGGAAUUUUGGACAAUGGGGGCAACCCUGAUCCAGCAAUGCCGCGUGAGUGAAGAAGGCCUUCGGGUUGUAAAGCUCUUUUGUCAGGGAAGAAACACCGGCUCUAACACAGUCCGGGAAUGACGGUACCUGAAGAAUAAGCACCGGCUAACUACGUGCCAGCAGCCGCCGUAA
rnacentral:rRNA from 1 species